CAAUAGCGUAUAUUAAAGUUGUUGCAGUUAAAAAGCUCGUAGUUGGAUUUCUGGGAGGGUGCCAAUGUCCGCCGACGUGCGUGCGCAGCGGCGCCCUCUCAUCCUUCUGUUAACGUCUCUCAGCAUUUAUUUGCCGGUGGCGGGCUCAGAUAUUUUACCUUGAGAAAAUUAGAGUGUUUCAGGCAGGCUAGGCCGGAAUACAUUAGCAUGGAAUAAUGGAAUAGGACUUCGGUCUCUUUGUUGGUUUGAGGGACUGCAGUAAUGAUUAAUAGGGAUAGUUGGGGGCAUUAGUAUUUAAUUGUCAGAGGUGGAAUUCUCGGAUUUGUUAAAGACUAACUUAUGCGAAAGCAUUUGCCAAGGGAUUUGUUUCUAAUUAACUACGAAACGAAAACGUAAAGGGGUUAAGGGGUACUAACGAAACGAACGUACUACGAAGUAACCGUUACCCGUUCGUAGGAACGUACGUCCGAACCGGAACGGACCAACCAACGGGGAAGGGGUAAGGUA
rnacentral:rRNA from 1 species